rnacentral:rRNA from 1 species
AUUGAACGCUGGCGGAAUGCUUUACACAUGCAAGUCGAACGGUAGAGGGGGCAACCCCUCGAGAGUGGCGAACGGGUGAGUAAUAUAUCGGAACGUGCCCAGUCGUGGGGGAUAACGUAGCGAAAGUUACGCUAAUACCGCAUACGAUCUAAGGAGGAAAGCGGGGGAUCGCAUGACCUCGCGCGAUUGGAGCGGCCGAUAUCAGAUUAGGUAGUUGGUGGGGUAAAGGCUCACCAAGCCAACGAUCUGUAGCUGGUCUGAGAGGACGACCAGCCACACUGGAACUGAGACACGGUCCAGACUCCUACGGGAGGCAGCAGUGGGGAAUUUUGGACAAUGGACGCAAGUCUGAUCCAGCCAUUCCGCGUGCAGGAUGAAGGCCCUCGGGUUGUAAACUGCUUUUGUACGGAACGAAAAGGUCUCUCUUAAUACGGGGGACUCAUGACGGUACCGUAAGAAUAAGCACCGGCUAACUACGUGCCAGCCGCCGCCGUAA